UGGGGAAUUUUGGACAAUGGGCGCAAGCCUGAUCCAGCCAUGCCGCGUGCGGGAAGAAGGCCUUCGGGUUGUAAACCGCUUUUGUCAGGGAAGAAAUCCUUUGGGUUAAUAGCCUGGGGGGAUGACGGUACCUGGAGAAUAAGCACCGGCUAACUACGUGCCAGCAGCCGCGGUAAUACGUAGGGUGCGAGCGUUAAUCGGAAUUACUGGGCGUAAAGCGUGCGCAGGCGGUUCUAUAAGACAGAGGUGAAAUCCCCGGGCUCAACCUGGGAACUGCCUUUGUGACUGUAGAGCUGGAGUGCGGCAGAGGGGGAUGGAAUUCCGCGUGUAGCAGUGAAAUGCGUAGAUAUGCGGAGGAACACCGAUGGCGAAGGCAAUCCCCUGGGCCUGCACUGACGCUCAUGCACGAAAGCGUGGGGAGCAAACAGGAUUAGAUACCCUGGUAGUCCACGCCCUAAACGAUGUCAACUGGUUGUUGGACGGCUUGCUGUUCAGUAACGAAGCUAACGCGUGAAGUUGACCGCCUGGGGAGUACGGCCGCAAGGUUG
rnacentral:rRNA from 1 species